UCCAUUAGGCUGAGGCCUAGAACAAAGAAGUAGGACCUGGCUGAAGUUUUAAAAAUGUAGGUGACAAAAAUAAUCCAAACCAAUACUUCAAGUGAAAGCAGGACUCGACUACACAGUUAGACAUUAAGUGGGGAUUGACUUCAGACAGAGGGUGGGAGACACUUCUAUACACAGAGAGUGAUGAGGGUAUGAAGUGGGCAGCCUCAGGAUCCUUUAAGACCCAACUUGAAGUUUUGAGAUCAAUCAGCUACUUGGAACCGGACAAGCUGUUCACCAUUACGGAGGUGAUGAAGAGGAUGAUGAAAUAGUUAGCAACGAUUAAAGAACUACUGGACACAAAAAUUAGGUGCAAGAUGAGGUGAAUGAAAUUAACCUGCAAGUGUAUUUAGAUCUUGAAAAAAACUAAAGGACCAGUAGAAAUAUAUUUCACCCAUGAGCAAUACAUCUCCCUUUUACCUGAUGACAAUAUAGAUACUAGGUAUAAUGUGUGGCCUUUAUUUUAUUAAAGAACAGGUGUAACUUAUCUAUAGCAUUUGUGAGUGUCUGUUGCUGUUUUUUCUGUCACCAGACCUUGGUUUUAAUGUAUUUCAUUCUACUGUUAAUUUAAAAAAGCAUUUGUAACAGUUCUCAACUUGCCCUUCUUGACUCAAACAAAUAUAACCUUACGGCAGCAUUUCUACCAGUCAGAGCCUUCAAAGAAAUAUGUUGCCUGGUGUCAGAGAUGUAUUUUGUAUUUAGAAAGGUCAAAAUAUAAUUGAACAUAUCAAAACAUUUAUAUCAAAAAUUUAUAUUGUCUGUAAUAGUCUGUCUACUUGACUAAGGGUUCAUUUGACCAACUGGCACCCAGCCAGGAUAAGCCGCAUUAUCCCAAGCGGUUAUUAGGUUGAUCAAAUCAACCUCUUAGUUUCUUAAGUUUUACCAUA